UUUGUCCAAGUAAACGAAGUUGAUCACGUCGAGUCAUACAAUCGGAUUAAACGAGGAUGGCAAAUCGAAACAGAACCCAUUCACUUUUUUUUUAUUAUUUUUUUUUCGCGUUUUGUUUAAGUACGCAGAGUUUAAUCGUGUCGAGCCUAUCGCGAAUAUGGCCGCACGAUUUUUUUUAUACCCAUGUCGAGCCUAUCACGAAGAGCACGGCUUACGUAAUAAAACCUCCGAUUCGAUCAAUUAUUUUGACCAUGUCGAGCCUAUCGCGAAGAUGGCCGCACGAUUUUUUUAUACCCAUGUCGAGCCUAUCACGAAGAUGGCCGCACGGCUUACGUAAUAAAACCUCCGGUUCGAUCAAUUAUUUUGACCAUGUCAAGCCUAUCGCGAAAAUGGCCGCACGGCUUGGAGAUUAGCAAUGCACACGCAUAGCGAAAGCAACGAUUUGAUGUCAAAUUUGAUCGGUUCGAAACCUAUCACGAAGAUGGUCGGGUUGAUCAAACUGACAAGAAAAUCGUACUUAUGCUAUUUGUAUGCAUGCACAUCUCUUGUCGUCGUAGGAGUCGUCGUUAUUGUCGUUGUCGCCGUUGUCGUCGAAUGCAAGAACCGAAGCCCGUCUUUU
rnacentral:lncRNA from 1 species